rnacentral:lncRNA from 1 species
GUCAGAAAAAAUUAAGGAUUAUAUUUGCUCUUUAAAUAUUUUCUUUAAAAAGAAUUUUUAAAUUUUUAAAAAUGGAUUAUAAUACUUUCCAUCAAGGAAAUAAUAUAAACACCUUUUUGAUGUUUUUUUUUCAAAAUAUUAGUCAAUUCCAUUAAUCUAUAAAGUGUCAAUUAUUAUUGUGCUCCUUUUUCAUCCCAUCAAUUGAUUUAGAUUUGACAUCCUAUAACUGCCAAAAAAUGUAAAUUAAAAAUAUGUUUCCUAUUUUUUUCCUUUCAGGGAAAUCUUGAGGAGUUGGACACUUUUCUUCCUCCAGCAUUAAUUAUUUUGUGGGAGGAGGCUGUACACUGGUGGGAGUAAAAAGCAAGCAGUUCCUGGCCCAUAAUACUCCAGUUUAGGAUGUCUGACUGAUGGCAUGCUGGCACCAACCUUGGAGGAAGUGAUGAGCUUCAGCUCCAGAACAAUGAUCAAGGACUUUCUUCAUGAGACUCUCUUCAUCAAACAGGAGAAUCUUUCUUGGAAGCAUCUAUGUUUCAAUUGUGAGUGAUUUGUCACCCCAACGGAUGUCUCCAGAGUGCCUCUGAGCAGUGUUCAUGCCCUCCCCUUCUCCUGUGGGGGUAUGGGAAUGUAAGUACGUGGCAAGAUAUGGGAUUUUCCAUUAGAACCUGAGAGUGCAUGGAGUGGAUGGGGCGGGUAAGCAACCUGUUUACUCCUUCACCCCUAGCCUUCCCAGGGUAUACGUUUUCCCCAGCCAUUGUCUUACCCUUUGCCAGUUGUCAUUUUCAUUUAUAGCACUUAUGUCAUCUGAAUUUAUCCUAUUUUAUUAGUUUCUUGUUUGUCUUGUUCUAUUAGAAGUAAACCUCCAUGAACCAUGGGGCAUGUGUGUCUCAUUUGCCCCUAUAGCCAUACUCCCUCAGACAGCAGAGUAGAUGUUCCAUAAAAUAUUGUCAAUUGAGUGAUGGUACUUAGGGACAUUUCAAAAGUAUUGUCUCCUUUACCUUCCUCUACUAGUAAAACUUUCUAGUCCUGUAGGGAGCACUUACAUUUUCCUAAUUUUUCUAUUUUCCGAGAAAUGUUUUUGAGGUGGUAGAAGCUACAUCUCUUCAGAAACCAUUUCAGUACCACCACGCGUACCGCCCGCUGAGUCUUCGGGUUUGACUCAGUAUACUUGUGAGGUCAGUACUCAGAUGCGGUCACCUUGGUGUCCUCCCCUCCUGCUCUCCUGCAGGAAGCUGAACAGCCAACCUUGUUCUGCCCCUCUACCACAGGGUUUACCAUAAGGUCAACUUCUUGUUCCUUCC